UGUGGAAAAAGAGACCAUCUGGAAAGAAUGCUGUGGUUUCACAGAGCCAACAUUAUUCUCUACCUCCCCUUCCUCUUCCUCUUUCUUUAUGGAUGGCAAACAGUGUUCAGAUGACAGAUUUUGGAAAAUUGUCUUAGGAGGUGCAUUCUCAGGCAGUUCCAGUGUGUGGGUAUUUGGGAUGUUUCUGUGCAUUUUGUCAUACGGUUCAGAAGGGUGAUAGGCUUUUUGUGAACUCCUGGGCUUCAAGAAGGUUAUUAUCUUCCACUCAGUUUUAAUUGAGGAGUUUAUGGGAUCUUGCCACCCUGUGAGGUUCAUUGCUAGAAUUUCUGCGUUGGAUGUAUUAAGAAUCUACGGGGAGCCAAGGCACUGAGAAGUAUCAGGUAUUCCCUACAAUCGCUUCAUCUAAUGGAGUUCCCCCAAAUGUCAUGAUUCUCGUGACAAUCCACCCCAGACUGUGGUGAGAGACACAGAGCUACAGCAGUUUUGGUGGUGGUUAGUAUGACAUUGACCUGAAGUAGGCAAGAAUGUUUCUCAAGAGGUGAGAAAUGGCUAAAGAAAACUUUCAAAUGGGCCGGGCGCGGUGGCUCAAGCCUGUAAUCCCAGCUCUUUGGGAGGCCGAGACGGGUGGAUCACAAGGUCAAGAGAUCGAGACCAUCCCAGUCAACAUGGUGAAACCCCGUCUCUACUAAAAAUGCAAAAAAUUAGCUGGGCAUGGUGGUGUGUGCCUGUAAUCCCAGCUACUCGGGAGGCUGAGGCAGGAGAAUCGCCUGAACCCAGGAGGCGGAGGU